CUUUAUUUGGAGACUCAAAAGUUCCCAGCCAGAUAAAGUCCUUACUAAGCUGUAAGGCUGUGCAAGAGAAGGUGCUAUUGAGCUAGCUCUGAUAUUACUGAUGGACCGCAGUGCUCUCUCCGUACGCUCUGUGGGGUGCUCCUGAGGACAGUUUGUCAGCCUGGCUGCAGAGAUUGGAGGGCUGCGAGUCUGUCACUCAAAUAUCUGCUGAGGGGAUGAGUCCGUGCCUGCCAGAGUCCUCGCCAAGGAGGAACAAGGAAGAUGGGGAGGUGACCUGGACUGGUGUCUGUUGCUGCACUCUGAGGAAUUUCACCUCAGGAAAAUGCAAAUGGACUUAGAACUAAUUUUGUUCAAGAACGUGAGCAGGCACUCAGAGGGCCUUUUUUUCCCCCUCUUACCAUGACUUCUCUAAUUACUGGGAUGAAUGUGUAAACCCUCAUGCUGAAGUGUUCACAAGAGUGAGUUUACUCAUUUUACCAUUUCUUGGCAUAAAAAGCAUCGUAUUAAGCAGGUUUUAAGGUUUUCUCACCAAGAGAUGUGGAUUAUAAAGCUUUAGAAAUAACUUGCAUCUGGAAAAGCCAAUUAAUAAAACAAAAAUUCUGA
ensembl:lncRNA